rnacentral:rRNA from 1 species
UAAGGAAUAUUGGGCAAUGGUCGAAAGACUGACCCAGCCAUGCCGCGUGCAGGAUGAAGGCCCUAUGGGUUGUAAACUGCUUUUAGCCGGGAAUAAACACCCGUUUUAUAACGGGCCCGAAGGUACCGGCUGAAUAAGCAUCGGCUAACUCCGUGCCAGCAGCCGCGGUAAUACGGAGGAUGCAAGCGUUAUCCGGAUUCACUGGGUUUAAAGGGUGCGCAGGCGGACAUUUAAGUCAGGGGUGAAAUCCUACAGCUUAACUGUAGAACUGCCCUUGAUACUGAAUGCCUAGAGUAAAGCUGAAGUGGGCGGAAUGUGUUGUGUAGCGGUGAAAUGCUUAGAUAUAACACAGAACACCAAUCGCGAAGGCAGCUCACUAAACUUUAACUGACGCUCAUGCACGAAAGCGUGGGGAGCAAACAGG